CGGGUACGGGUGCGAACCNCGUGUUGCACUGGCUUUAACCGGGGGGUNNAACUUUCGGAAAGGUAUNACAAUACCCCAUAAUAUGUUGAAUGGCAUCAUUCGACAUUGAAACUCCGGUGGAUAGAGAUGGGGCACGCGCAAGAUUAGAUAGUUGGUGAGGGUAACGGCUCACCCAAGUCUACGAAUCUUUUAGGGGGGCCCUGGAGAGGGGUUGAAUCCCCCCAAAAACUUGGGUUACUGAAGAAACACGGGAACCAAGACCUCCCUUACGGGGAAGGGCAAGCAAGUGAGGAAUUNUUUGGGACAAAUGGGGUGAGAAGCCUGAAUCCCAGGCCAUUCCCCGCGUGAAAGGGACNGACUUGGCCCUAUGGGGGUUGUNAACUUCCUUAUUGGUAUAGGGGAUAAAACCUUACCCUUCGGUGCAGGGGUUAACCUGANAAGGGUACUUAUACGCAUUAAAGCCACCGGGCUAAACUCCGGUGCCAGCAAGCCGACGGGUUAAAUUACCCGGGAGGGGUCGCCAAAGGCGGUUAAUCCCGGGAUUCUUCA
rnacentral:rRNA from 1 species